UACGUAGGGGGCAAGCGUUGUCCGGAAUCAUUGGGCGUAAAGAGCGCGUAGGCGGCCCGGUAAGUCUGCUGUGAAAGUCAAAGGCUCAACCUUUGAAUGUCAGCGGAUACUGCCGGGCUAGAGUCCGGAAGAGGCGAGUGGAAUUCCUGGUGUAGCGGUGGAAUGCGCAGAUAUCAGGAGGAACACCAACGGCGAAGGCAGCUCGCUAGGACGGUACUGACGCUGAGGCGCGAAAGCGUGGGGAGCGAACAGG
rnacentral:rRNA from 1 species